CAGCAGCCGCGGGAAUACGUAGGUCCCGAGCGUUGUCCGGAUUUAUUGGGCGUAAAGCGAGCGCAGGCGGUUAGAUAAGUCUGAAGUUAAAGGCUGUGGCUUAACCAUAGUACGCUUUGGAAACUGUUUAACUUGAGUGCAGAAGGGGAGAGUGGAAUUCCAUGUGUAGCGGUGAAAUGCGUAGAUAUAUGGAGGAACACCGGUGGCGAAAGCGGCUCUCUGGUCUGUAACUGACGCUGAGGAGCGAAAGCGUGGGGAGCGAACAGGAUUAGAUACCCCUGUAGUCCCUGUCUCUUAUACA
rnacentral:rRNA from 1 species